GAUGAACGCUGGCGGCGUGCCUAAUACAUGCCAGUCGAGCGAACAGACGAGGAGCUUGCUCCUCUGACGUUAGCGGCGGACGGGUGAGUAACACGUGGAUAACCUACCUAUAAGACUGGGAUAACUUCGGGAAACCGGAGCUAAUACCGGAUAAUAUAUUGAACCGCAUGGUUCAAUAGUGAAAGACGGUUUUGCUGUCACUUAUAGAUGGAUCCGCGCCGCAUUAGCUAGUUGGUAAGGUAACGGCUUACCAAGGCGACGAUGCGUAGCCGACCCGAGAGGGUGAUCGGCCACACUGGAACUGAGACACGGUCCAGACUCCUACGGGAGGCAGCAGUAGGGAAUCUUCCGCAAUGGGCGAAAGCCUGACGGAGCAACGCCGCGUGAGUGAUGAAGGUCUUCGGAUCGUAAAACUCUGUUAUUAGGGAAGAACAAAUGUGUAAGUAACUAUGCACGUCUUGACGGUACCUAAUCAGAAAGCCACGGCUAACUACGUG
rnacentral:rRNA from 1 species